UUAAGCGACUAAGCGUACACGGUGGAUGCCCUGGCAGUCAGAGGCGAUGAAGGACGUGCUAAUCUGCGAUAAGCGUCGGUAAGGUGAUAUGAACCGUUAUAACCGGCGAUUUCCGAAUGGGGAAACCCAGUGUGUUUCGACACACUAUCAUUAACUGAAUCCAUAGGUUAAUGAGGCGAACCGGGGGAACUGAAACAUCUAAGUACCCCGAGGAAAAGAAAUCAACCGAGAUUCCCCCAGUAGCGGCGAGCGAACGGGGAGCAGCCCAGAGCCUGAAUCAGUGUGUGUGUUAGUGGAAGCGUCUGGAAAGGCGCGCGAUACAGGGUGACAGCCCCGUACACAAAAAUGCACAUGCUGUGAGCUCGAUGAGUAGGGCGGGACACGUGGUAUCCUGUCUGAAUAUGGGGGGACCAUCCUCCAAGGCUAAAUACUCCUGACUGACCGAUAGUGAACCAGUACCGUGAGGGAAAGGCGAAAAGAACCCCGGCGAGGGGAGUGAAAAAGAACCUGAAACCGUGUACGUACAAGCAGUGGGAGCACGCUUAGGCGUGUGACUGCGUACCUUUUGUAUAAUGGGUCAGCGACUUAUAUUCUGUAGCAAGGUUAACCGAAUAGGGGAGCCGAAGGGAAACCGAGUCUUAACUGGGCGUUAAGUUGCAGGGUAUAGACCCGAAACCCGGUGAUCUAGCCAUGGGCAGGUUGAAGGUUGGGUAACACUAACUGGAGGACCGAACCGACUAAUGUUGAAAAAUUAGCGGAUGACUUGUGGCUGGGGGUGAAAGGCCAAUCAAACCGGGAGAUAGCUGGUUCUCCCCGAAAGCUAUUUAGGUAGCGCCUCGUGAAUUCAUCUCCGGGGGUAGAGCACUGUUUCGGCAAGGGGGUCAUCCCGACUUACCAACCCGAUGCAAACUGCGAAUACCGGAGAAUGUUAUCACGGGAGACACACGGCGGGUGCUAACGUCCGUCGUGAAGAGGGAAACAACCCAGACCGCCAGCUAAGGUCCCAAAGUCAUGGUUAAGUGGGAAACGAUGUGGGAAGGCCCAGACAGCCAGGAUGUUGGCUUAGAAGCAGCCAUCAUUUAAAGAAAGCGUAAUAGCUCACUGGUCGAGUCGGCCUGCGCGGAAGAUGUAACGGGGCUAAACCAUGCACCGAAGCUGCGGCAGCGACGCUUAUGCGUUGUUGGGUAGGGGAGCGUUCUGUAAGCCUGUGAAGGUGUGCUGUGAGGCAUGCUGGAGGUAUCAGAAGUGCGAAUGCUGACAUAAGUAACGAUAAAGCGGGUGAAAAGCCCGCUCGCCGGAAGACCAAGGGUUCCUGUCCAACGUUAAUCGGGGCAGGGUGAGUCGACCCCUAAGGCGAGGCCGAAAGGCGUAGUCGAUGGGAAACAGGUUAAUAUUCCUGUACUUGGUGUUACUGCGAAGGGGGGACGGAGAAGGCUAUGUUGGCCGGGCGACGGUUGUCCCGGUUUAAGCGUGUAGGCUGGUUUUCCAGGCAAAUCCGGAAAAUCAAGGCUGAGGCGUGAUGACGAGGCACUACGGUGCUGAAGCAACAAAUGCCCUGCUUCCAGGAAAAGCCUCUAAGCAUCAGGUAACAUCAAAUCGUACCCCAAACCGACACAGGUGGUCAGGUAGAGAAUACCAAGGCGCUUGAGAGAACUCGGGUGAAGGAACUAGGCAAAAUGGUGCCGUAACUUCGGGAGAAGGCACGCUGAUAUGUAGGUGAAGUCCCUCGCGGAUGGAGCUGAAAUCAGUCGAAGAUACCAGCUGGCUGCAACUGUUUAUUAAAAACACAGCACUGUGCAAACACGAAAGUGGACGUAUACGGUGUGACGCCUGCCCGGUGCCGGAAGGUUAAUUGAUGGGGUUAGCGCAAGCGAAGCUCUUGAUCGAAGCCCCGGUAAACGGCGGCCGUAACUAUAACGGUCCUAAGGUAGCGAAAUUCCUUGUCGGGUAAGUUCCGACCUGCACGAAUGGCGUAAUGAUGGCCAGGCUGUCUCCACCCGAGACUCAGUGAAAUUGAACUCGCUGUGAAGAUGCAGUGUACCCGCGGCAAGACGGAAAGACCCCGUGAACCUUUACUAUAGCUUGACACUGAACAUUGAGCCUUGAUGUGUAGGAUAGGUGGGAGGCUUUGAAGUGUGGACGCCAGUCUGCAUGGAGCCGACCUUGAAAUACCACCCUUUAAUGUUUGAUGUUCUAACGUUGACCCGUAAUCCGGGUUGCGGACAGUGUCUGGUGGGUAGUUUGACUGGGGCGGUCUCCUCCUAAAGAGUAACGGAGGAGCACGAAGGUUGGCUAAUCCUGGUCGGACAUCAGGAGGUUAGUGCAAUGGCAUAAGCCAGCUUGACUGCGAGCGUGACGGCGCGAGCAGGUGCGAAAGCAGGUCAUAGUGAUCCGGUGGUUCUGAAUGGAAGGGCCAUCGCUCAACGGAUAAAAGGUACUCCGGGGAUAACAGGCUGAUACCGCCCAAGAGUUCAUAUCGACGGCGGUGUUUGGCAC
rnacentral:rRNA from 1 species